ensembl:lncRNA novel transcript
AUUGCCUGCUCCAGGUGGGGCGCCCUAAACUCCCAGACCCCUGAGGCCGGCCGCCACUCUGCCCCCUCACAACCUGGCCUGAGCCCCCAGCACCUCCCGUCCCCUGGCUGCCCACCCCGAGGGACUCCAGAAGCAGAGGCCCCACCUCUCUGGGCUCCCCUUCCAAGGAUGUGAAACCAGGGAUCCUUCACGGGGUCUUGCCAGGACCUCCUGCUGCCCCAGUCCCAGCCUGUGAGCCUUGGGUCCUGUCCCUCCCAGACUGGAAGGUGCCUGCUGCUCCCUUCUGCAGCCCCACUCAUGCCCCGCACCCUCAGGCUGGGGAAUGAGGUGGAGGGGCUGCAUGCGUCCCUGGUGGUGCUGCGGGAGAAGCUUCUAGAAGUGGAGCAGUCGCUGGGCAACCUGGAGUACGUGCAGGAGCCUGGAGAAAAACAUCGCCGUCAAGACCAACAGCCUCUAUGUCGACCGCCAGGCGUGCAUGGCCACCACGCCGCUACCCCACGGUCCUGCAGCUGCGCCUGGCUGCCAGUGAGUAUCUGGCACCGUGCAGGCGCCGUCCUGCGUUUUCUGUCCCGUCUCCCAAAUAAAGAGCACGUUAGCUUUCCA